ACGGUUUUUGGGGAUGUUAUUUGUCCGUUUUAAAACUGCCCUCCAUUGUUGGUCUGACAUGGAGAGGAAACAAAAACCUGUC
rnacentral:telomerase_RNA from 1 species